UAGGGAAUCUUCGGCAAUGGACGAAAGUCUGACCGAGCAACGCCGCGUGAGUGAAGAAGGUUUUCGGAUCUUAAAACUCUGUUUUUAGAGAAGAACAAGGACGUUAGUAACUGAACGUCCCCUGACGGUAUCUAACCAGAAAGCCACGGCUAACUACGUGCCAGCAGCCGCGGUAAUACGUAGGUGGCAAGCGUUGUCCGGAUUUAUUGGGCGUAAAGCGGGCGAAGGCGGUUUCUUAAGUGUGAUGUGAAAGCCCCCGGCUCAACCGGGGAGGGUUAUUGGAAACUGGGAGACGUGAGUGCAGAAGAGGAGAGUGGAAUUCCAUGUGUAGCGGUGAAAUGCGUAGAUAUAUGGAGGAACCCCAGUGGAGAAGGCGGCUCUCUGGUCUGUAACUGACGCUGAGGCUCGAAAGCGUGGGGAGCAAACAGG
rnacentral:rRNA from 1 species